UAUGAGGGAUAGUUAUGUGAGAAAAUUAAUUAGAUAAUGUCUAAAACAUACAUGUCGACAACAAUAAAAAAUACUGUGCUUUAUUAAGUUAGGGGAAUUGGCUUAAAGCUUAAUUACUGCAAAAUGAAUGUUAUAGAAAUUUAGUGAGCCAACAAAUAGUUUUUAAAUACUUUUCUCUUCCUUAAGCUUUUCUCCAUGGAAUCCUUCUGUACAUGAUGAAGCCAGAGAAAAGAUGCUGACUCAGAAAAAGAAGCCUGAAGAACAGCACAAUAAAAGUGUUCAUGUUGCUGGCCUGUCAUGGGUAAAGCCUGGCUCAGUACAGCCUUUCAGUAAAGAAGAGAAAACAGUGGCGACUUAAGAGAUGGUGAAUCUGGUGCACCAUGCACUUUCCUGCUGGACUCUGGCCUAGUUCAAGCUGACCAAUGGCAGAGGACUGCCUGAAGAGUAAAACUGUGUGAACAAUGACUGACUGCCAGUGUUUUCCAUGUAUGCAUAGGUUCUAACAGCAGGGUUUGGAAACCUGUCUCUAAGUAAUGCAUUACUUCUGUCAGAAGUGUCUUAGGGUGGUUAUCUAGUUCAGUACUCCAAAUUAUUGGGGACCUUGAGGCUUAAGUAAGUAUUUUUCUGAAUAUAAUGCUAAAGGUAAGUUGCAUUCAUUUAAACUAAUAGAGCAGACAGAAUUCAGCACUACUUAAUAGUUUAUAAAUCAGUGGUUUCAGUUGUAUAUAUGUUAGGAAAUGGAGAGGUAUAGAGAGAGCAGGUUCCAUAGCUCAGCACUUUUAAGUGGAAGAUCAUUUGAAUCUCUCUCAGUCUUCAGCCUGCACUGAUUUGUAGCCUGCACUGUCUUACUGAUUUACAAACUGAAAUCACUGAGAAAUGUCUUUAGUUCAGUGAGAAGAAACCAGAACACUUGUUCCUAGUGUUGUGUUUUUU
rnacentral:sRNA from 1 species